rnacentral:rRNA from 1 species
GACGAACGCUGGCGGCGUGCUUAACACAUGCAAGUCGAACGGAAAGGCCCUGCUUUUGUGGGGUGCUCGAGUGGCGAACGGGUGAGUAACACGUGAGUAACCUGCCCUUGACUUUGGGAUAACUUCAGGAAACUGGGGCUAAUACCGGAUAGGAGCUCCUGCUGCAUGGUGGGGGUUGGAAAGUUUCGGCGGUUGGGGACGGACUCGCGGCUUAUCAGCUUGUUGGUGGGGUAGUGGCUUACCAAGGCUUUGACGGGCAGCCGGCCUGAGAGGGUGACCGGCCACAUUGGGACUGAGAUACGGCCCAGACUCCUACGGGAGGCAGCAGUGGGGAAUAUUGCACAAUGGGCGGAAGCCUGAUGCAGCAACGCCGCGUGCGGGAUGACGGCCUUCGGGUUGUAAACCGCUUUCGCCUGUGACGAAGCGUGAGUGACGGUAAUGGGUAAAGAAGCACCGGCUAACUACGUG